GCGGCGUGCCUAAUCAUGCAAGUCGUGCGGAAAUUUUAUUGGUGCUUGCACCUUUAAAAUUUUAGCGGCGGACGGGUGAGUAACACGUGGGUAACCUACCUUAUAGAUUGGGAUAACUCCGGGAAACCGGGGCUAAUACCGAAUAAUACUUUUUAACACAUGUUUGAAAGUUGAAAGACGGUUUCGGCUGUCACUAUAAGAUGGACCCGCGGCGCAUUAGCUAGUUGGUGAGGUAACGGCUCACCAAGGCAACGAUGCGUAGCCGACCUGAGAGGGUGAUCGGCCACACUGGGACUGAGACACGGCCCAGACUCCUACGGGAGGCAGCAGUAGGGAAUCUUCCACAAUGGACGAAAGUCUGAUGGAGCAACGCCGCGUGAGUGAAGAAGGAUUUCGGUUCGUAAAACUCUGUUGCAAGGGAAGAACAAGUAGCGUAGUAACUGGCGCUACCUUGACGGUACCUUGUUAGAAAGCCACGGCUAACUACGUGCCAGCAGCCGCGGUAAUACGUAGGUGGCAAGCGUUGUCCGGAAUUAUUGGGCGUAAAGCGCGCGCAGGUGGUUCCUUAAGUCUGAUGUGAAAGCCCCCGGCUCAACCGGGGGAGGGUCAUUGGAAACUGGGGAACUUGAGUGCAGAAGAGGAUAGUGGAAUUCCAAGUGUAGCGGUGAAAAUGCGUAGAGAUUUGGAGGAACACCAGUGGCGAAGGCGACUGUCUGGUCUGUAACUGACACUGGAGGCGCGAAAGCGUGGGGGAGCAAACAGGAUUAGAUACCCUGGUAGUCCACGCCGUAAACGAUGAGUGCUAAGUG
rnacentral:rRNA from 1 species